UCAUAAACUAACUGAAGUUCUGG
rnacentral:piRNA from 1 species